rnacentral:rRNA from 1 species
UACGGAGGGUGCAAGCGUUGUCCGGAUUUAUUGGGUUUAAAGGGUGCGUAGGCGGCUAAUUAAGUCAGCGGUGAAAUUCCACAGCUCAACUGUGUGAACUGCCAUUGAUACUGGUUGGCUUGAGUACAGAUGAGGUAGGCGGAAUUGACAGUGUAGCGGUGAAAUGCGCAGAUAUCGGGAGGAACACCGGUGGCGAAGGCGGUUCUCUGGGCCUGUACUGACGCUGAGGAGCGAAAGCGUGGGGAGCGAACAGG